ACUGGAUCUGGAUUCCCAUCUAGUGGCAGACGGGUGAGUAACACGUGGGUAACCUGCCUCAUACAGGGGGAUAACAGUUGGAAACGACUGCUAAUACCGCAUAAGCGCACAGGGUCGCAUGGUACGGUGUGAAAAACUCCGGUGGUGUGAGAUGGACCCGCGUCUGAUUAGCUAGUUGGCAGGGCAACGGCCUACCAAGGCGACGAUCAGUAGCCGACCUGAGAGGGUGACCGGCCACAUUGGAACUGAGACACGGUCCAGACUCC
rnacentral:rRNA from 1 species